rnacentral:rRNA from 1 species
UACGGAGGGUGCGAGCGUUGUCCGGAAUUAUUGGGCGUAAAGAGCUCGUAGGCGGUCUGUCGCGUCUGCUGUGAAAACUCGGGGCUUAACCCCGGGCCUGCAGUGGGUACGGGCAGACUAGAGUGCGGUAGGGGAGACUGGAAUUCCUGGUGUAGCGGUGAAAUGCGCAGAUAUCAGGAGGAACACCGGUGGCGAAGGCGGGUCUCUGGGCCGUAACUGACGCUGAGGAGCGAAAGCGUGGGGAGCGAACAGG